rnacentral:rRNA from 1 species
UGUUCGAAAGGGAAACAGCCCAGACCACCAGCUAAGGUCCCAAAAUAUAUGUUAAGUGGAAAAGGAUGUGGCGUUGCCCAGACAACUAGGAUGUUGGCUUAGAAGCAGCCAUCAUUUAAAGAGUGCGUAAUAGCUCACUAGUCGAGUGACACUGCGCCGAAAAUGUACCGGGGCUAAACAUAUUACCGAAGCUGUGGAUUGUCCUUUGGACAAUGGUAGGAGAGCGUUCUAAGGGCGUUGAAGCAUGAUCGCAAGGACAUGUGGAGCGCUUAGAAGUGAGAAUGCCGGUGUGAGUAGCGAAAGACGGGUGAGAAUCCCGUCCACCGAUUGACUAAGGUUUCCAGAGGAAGGCUCGUCCGCUCUGGGUUAGUCGGGUCCUAAGCUGAGGCCGACAGGCGUAGGCGAUGGAUAACAGGUUGAUAUUCCUGUACCACCUAUAAUCGUUUUAAUCGAUGGGGGGACGCAGUAGGAUAGGCGAAGCGUGCGAUUGGAUUGCACGUCUAAGCAGUAAGGCUGAGUAUUAGGCAAAUCCGGUACUCGUUAAGGCUGAGCUGUGAUGGGGAGAAGACAUUGUGUCUUCGAGUCGUUGAUUUCACACUGCCGAGAAAAGCCUCUAGAUAGAAAAUAGGUGCCCGUACCG